CCCUUAGAUGUUCUGGGCCGCACGCGCGCUACACUGAUGAAUUCAACGAGUUUUCCACCUUGACCGAGAGGUCCGGGAAAUCUUUUCAACUUUCAUCGUGCUGGGGAUAGAUUAUUGCAAUUGUUAAUCUUGAACGAGGAAUUCCUAGUAAGCGCGAGUCAUCAGCUCGCGUUGAUUACGUCCCUGCCCUUUGUACACACCGCCCGUCGCACCUACCGAUUGAAUGGUCCGGUGAAAUCUCGGGACGGCGGCUUGGUCGCUUGCGUCCGACUGCUGAAACUUGAUUAAACCAUAUCAUUUAGAGGAAGGUGAAGUCGUAACA
rnacentral:rRNA from 1 species